UAGAUGCCUUAAGAGAAUUAGAUCUUCUUCAUGAUUCAGAAUGGGGUAAAAAGAAGAAUGAUGAAGAGAAAGCUAGAUUGCAUUGCACCAAGGAAAACAGGAUUCAUUACUUAUAACUAGAAGCUUUUGUCAUAGUUAUCUUUUUAACAUUUUAUUAGUUCUGUGUUUGUGUGUGAGGGGUAGGUAGAUGCAUAUGAGUGCAGGAGCGGAAAGCAACCUGAAGAACCUAGUCAUGUUCCCUGGAGCUGUACUUAUAUAGCCAGCUGUCCCAUAUGAGAGCUGAGAACUGAGCUCUAGUCCUCUGGAAGAACAGUCCUGAGUGCUGCAAUUGCAGGCAUGUGCUGCCAUGCCAGGUUUUGUGCAGUGCUGUGGAAUGAAUCCAGGGUUUUAUGCCUGCUGGAGAGAUCCUAGAGUUCCAGACUAGGGAGUAUGAGAAGAGUCAUCCUCAUUCCAGCCUGUGAAAGUGACUGCUCUACAUACACAUGCUGUGUCUCACUUCUAAGAAUUUCCAGGGCCUGGCAUAAAAGGGCUCCUGUGUCAGGUCCAUCAGUCCUCAGCCUUACCAGUUUCAGGCCCCUCUUCUUCUGCUGAACAAGUUUCCAGACUUCCUCCCAAGAAUGUCCUGCCAGCAGAGUCAGCAACAGUGCCAGCCCCCUCCCAAAUGCACACCCAAGUGCCCUCCCAAGUGCCAGACUCCCAAAUGCCCCCCAAAGUGUCCCCCUAAGUGUCCUCCCAAGUGCCCCCCUGUGUCUUCCUGCUGUAGCCUGGGUUCUGGGGGCUGCUGCGGCUCCAGCUCUGGUGGCUGCUGUGGUUCCAGCUCUGGAGGCUGCUGCAGCUCUGGGAGUGGAGGUUGCUGUCUGAGCCACCACAAACCCCACAGAUCUUUCCGUCGCCAUCGUCACAGUUCUGGAUGCUGUAGCAGUAGUGGCAGCAGUGGUUGCUGUGGCAGUAGUGGCAGCAGUGGUUGCUGUGGCAGCAGUGGUGGCAGCAGUGGUUGCUGUGGCAGCAGUGGUGGCAGCAGUGGUUGCUGUGGUGGUAACCAGCAGUCUGGGGACUGCUGUUGAACUGAUUGAUGAAGACUUCAGACAAACAGUAAAGGAGGCAACCAUCUUCACGGGACCUGCUCCUGCCUGCUAUUUCUCCCUCUCUUCCUGUCUUCUGUGUUCUGGACUUCAAGAUGAUGAAUUUUUCAGUGAAGUUCAAAUUUUACUCCUUAGUCAGAACCCCUUCUGUGAUUCCAAAUAAAAUCUUUCCUAACAAUC